GGCAGCCGCGGUAAUUCCAGCUCCAAUAGCGUAUAUUAAAGUUGUUGCAGUUAAAAAGCUCGUAGUUGAAUUUCGGGGUCAGUAGAUUGGUCGUGCCACUGGUAUGUACUGGUCUUACUGGCUCCUCCUUCCUGAUGAACCGUAAUGCCAUUAAUUUGGUGUUGCGGGGAGACUGGACUGUUACUUUGAAAAAAUUAGAGUGUUUAAAGCAGGCUAACGCUUGAAUACAUUAGCAUGGAAUAAUGAAAUAGGACGUUCGAUCUUAUUUUGUUGGUUUCUAAGAUUGACGUAAUGAUUAAUAGGGAUAGUUGGGGGCAUUAGUAUUCAAUUGUCAGAGGUGAAAUUCUUGGAUUUAUUGAAGACUAACUACUGCGAAAGCAUUUGCCAAGGAUGUUUUCAUUAAUCAAGAACGAAAGUUAGGGGAUCGAAGACGAUCAGAUACCGUCGUAGUCUUAACCAUAAACUAUGCCGACUAGGGAUCGGAUGAUGUUAAUUUUUUAAUGACUCAUUCGGCGCCUUA
rnacentral:rRNA from 1 species